CUCCCUCUGCGUCUCUCCCUUCCCCCAACGUCUCUCUCUCUCAACUCUCUCUCGCUACUGCCUGAAAACGGCGGCCACCACCGGUUGCGCCGGCGCUGCUCCGGCCACCGCCGUUGCCAUUGCUCGGAAGAAAUUAAGAGGAAUUGAAAACUCAUUUAAAAAGGACCGAGGAGUGCCGCCCCUUUGCCGGAUUUCGCCACCACCGCCGGGCUGCCGCCGCCGCCACCGUCGGGCUGCCGGAGAGCAGAAUUCCAGCCAAGGACAUGGUUUGAAGAGAAAUAAUGGGCAUUCAAGAAGAAGGAAUGGUUAUUCGAGAAGUUCCUAUUGUAGAGUACUAAUACUAGAGAGUUGAUAAUUAUAUUCACAUGUAUUGCUAUUGUAUUACUCAUGUUAAAGAGCAUUAUCUCAUAUAUGUACAUGGACACUUAAUAUUCUUCUACUAUAGUUGCUCUUGCAUAAA